rnacentral:lncRNA from 1 species
UGUGCUUCCUGAUCUGAAAUAGGCCAACAGUUCCCAGCUUUUACACAGAGAGAGGCUGCCACAGGUCCCACAGGAAGCCAGAGCUGGGAGGGACUGUCCCGUCAGUGACAGCAGAGUUCUAUUCUGGACCAGAAACCAGGAGUGAAGGUGGUCAGGGCAUGGCUUCUGCCAAGGCCUCAUACAUCCAGGCCUCUCACUCUCAAGGACAUGCACUGGGCCUUGUAACCUGGAGGGCCUUUGCUAAGGGGCCAGACCUGAGCUGAGAGCAGGCCUUGAACCUGCACCCAGGGGAGACUGUGGUGGUUGUGAAGGCCCUGGGAAGGGUAAUGCUGGUGGAGCAGCUUGGGGUUAGCGUGGUCUGAUGAUUGCUUGGUUCUUGGCCCCAGUGAGGCUGUGGGCCUGGAUGUGUCCCCUGUGGUCAGUCAGUGGCACCUGCUUGUCUCUCACUUUGGUGGGCCAUAGCAGCAGAGCAGGGGAGGGGUUGAGAGGACCUUAGUGGAGCCCUGUGGAUGGUGGCAGCUGUAUCCUACAGGCACUGCCUCCCUUGGGCACACCCCUGCUGGAGAUGAUUGAAGCCCCAUGGCAAGCUGGGGCAAGAAUUACUUUGUAAGCUGUAACCGGGGCAGGGGCUGGCUCAGUGAUAGGGUGCUCACCUGGCAUGCACGAAGCCCUGGAUUCCAUCCCUAGUUCCUUCCCCUGCAAAAAGCUGGAAUCACCCUGGGCAAACUAGAGGAAGACUGUGGCUUGCAUUUUCCUUCCCAAGGCAGGAGGGCGGAUUCACGCCCAGGUCACUCCCUCUGUAUCCCUGGCCUUGCUCUUGUCUUCUGUCUCCGCCUUCCACAAGCCUUCUUUCCCCCAGGCCUCACCAAUGUUUUGGACUCCCUUGUCUCCUUCUAUUCAGUCAUCAGCAGCUUUGGGCAGUAAGUGACCACGUCCUUCCUUCUCUGUUCCUUCGGGAGGGACCAGCUUCAGCUGGUCCCUUUCCCCACCUGGGUGCUUGGCCCACAUUGGACUCCUUUCUCAUUCUCCCUGUCGCAGUCUACCGGGUCUCCUGACUACCCCUGGUCAGUUGUGACUAAGUCUGCAGUGUGGUGGAGGUGGGGCUCAUGCCUGCCCCUUAGGAUGGCAUCUGAGCUUCCUGCGCUGUGUUUAGUGCUGGAAAGUUCCCAGUACAUGCAGGUUCUCCAAGCACGGUGAUGCCUAAGUUAAUUCUGCAAAGUGGAGGCAGGAGGACUGAAGCUUUGCCCUGAUGAGUUGGCCUUGGGGCCAAGCCUAGACCCCUCAGGCUGUCCUUGAGUAGUGGCAAGUGUAGGGAAGUGGUACCCAGCCAGCACCUGGGUGGGG